rnacentral:misc_RNA from 1 species
GUAGGUGAACCUGCGGAAGGAUCAUUACAAGGCUCGGCGGCGACCCCUCACCGGGUCGCCCCAUCCGCCCCUCCCUGUGCCUACCUUCCUCUGUUGCUUGGGGCGGGGUCCAGUGGGCGAGACACCCCUGGCGCGGAGGCGACCGUGGCGCAUCCGCCGCGCGCCGCUGCUCCCGGGGCCCGUCCGCACACUGUGACGCAUCCCGUCCCAAAGGGCCGGUUACGGCCGGCUGGUCAACCCCGAGAACACA